GACGAACGCUGGCGGCGUGCCUAACACAUGCAAGUCGAACGGAGAUACGGAUUAGCUUGCUAAACUGUAUCUUAGUGGCGGACGGGCGAGUAACGCGUGAGCAACCUGCCCUUCAGUGGGGAAUAACGGCUGGAAACGGUCGCUAAUACCGCAUAACAUAUCUUGGUGGCAUCAUCGAGAUAUCAAAGGAGCAAUUCGCUGAGGGAUGGGCUCGCGUCCGAUUAGCUAGUUGGUGGGGUAACGGCCUACCAAGGCAACGAUCGGUAGCCGAACUGAGAGGGUGAUCGGCCACAUUGGGACUGAGACACGGCCCAAACUCCUACGGGAGGCAGCAGUGGGGGAUAUUGCACAAUGGGGGAAACCCUGAUGCAGCGACGCCGCGUGAGUGAAGAAGUAUUUCGGUAUGUAAAGCUCUAUCAGCAGGGAGAAAAUGACGGUACCUGACUAAGAAGCCCCGGNUAACUACGUG
rnacentral:rRNA from 1 species